rnacentral:lncRNA from 1 species
GGUACAGGGAAGCUAUUGGGAUCUAUAGGGUUCCCUAUAGUGUGGACGGAGUGCUAUGGGGAUCAGUAGUAAGGGGUCCCCUAUAGGGCUGAGCCCCACAGCAAGGGGUCUCUGGGGUCCCCUAUAGGGCUGAGCCCCAUGGCAAAGGGUCUUUAGGGUCUUCUGUAGGGCUGAGACCCACAGCAAGGGGUCUCUGCAGUGUCUCCUAUAGGGCUGAGCCCCAUGGCAACGGGUCUGUGGGGUCCCCUAUAGGGCUGAGCCCCAGCUGUGUCUCCCUACAGCCUCAUAUAGGGCCGAAGCCCCCCUAUGGGGUCUCUGCAGCAUCUCCUAUAGGGCUGAGCCCCACCUGUGGCUCCCUACAGCCCCCCCUAUGGGGACUCUCCAGUGUCCCCUAUAGGGCUGAGCCCCAUGGCAACGGGUCUGUGGGGUCCCCUAUAGGGCUGAAUCCCACUUGCAGCCCCCCCUAUGGGGACUCUCCAGUGUCUCGUAUAGGG